rnacentral:rRNA from 1 species
AGUUUGAUCCUGGCUCAGAACGAACGCUGGCGGCAUGCCUAACACAUGCAAGUCGGACGAAGCUAGAGUGCUUGCACUUUAGACUGAGUGGCAGACGGGUGAGUAACGCGUGGGAAUCUACCUAGCAGUGGGGAAUAACUUCUGGAAACGGGAGCUAAUACCGCAUACGCCCUUCGGGGGAAAGGUUCAUAUUUCUUCUCUUUUUAAAAGGCUUGGGAUUACUGUGUAAGAAGUAAGCUGAUAAGGCCUCUUAGAAAGAGAAGAAAGAAUCACUGUUAGAGGAGCCCGCGUUGGAUUAGCUAGUUGGUGAGGUAAAGGCUCACCAAGGCGACGAUCCAUAGCUGGUCUGAGAGGAUGAUCAGCCACACUGGGACUGAGACACGGCCCAGACUCCUACGGGAGGCAGCAGUGAGGAAUAUUGGACAAUGGAGGAAACUCUGAUCCAGCCAUGCCGCGUGAGUGAAGAAGGCCCUCGGGUUGUAAAGCUCUUUUGUCCCUGACGAUAAUGACGGUAGGGGAAGAAAAAGCCACGGCUAACUUCGUGCCAGCAGCCGCGGUAAUACGAAGGUGGCAAGCGUUGUUCGGAUUUACUGGGCGUAAAGCGUGCGUAGGCGGUUUGAUAAGUCAGGAGUGAAAGCCCAGGGCUCAACCUUGGAAUUGCUUUUGAAACUAUCUUACUUGAAUCCGGUAGAGGUUGGCGGAAUUCUCAGUGUAGAGGUGAAAUUCGCAGAUAUUGAGAGGAACACCAGUGGCGUAAGCGGCCAACUGGACCGGUAUUGACGCUGAGGCACGAAAGCAUGGGGAGCAAACAGGAUUAGAUACCCUGGUAGUCCAUGCUGUAAACGAU